UACGUAGGGCGCGAGCGUUGUCCGGAAUCAUUGGGCGUAAAGAGCUCGUAGGCGGCCGGUUGCGUCUGCUGUGAAAUCCCGGGGCUUAACCCCGGGCGUGCAGUGGAUACGGGCUGGCUGGAGGCAGGCAGGGGAGAAUGGAAUUCCCGGUGUAGCGGUGAAAUGCGCAGAUAUCGGGAGGAACACCGGUGGCGAAGGCGGUUCUCUGGGCCUGUGCUGACGCUGAGGAGCGAAAGCGUGGGGAGCGAACAGG
rnacentral:rRNA from 1 species